AGCGAACGCUGGCGGCAGGCUUAACACAUGCAAGUCGAACGGACAUAGCAAUAUGUCAGUGGCAUACGGUUGAGUAACGCGUGGGAACGUACCUUUUGGUUCGGAACCACACAGGGAAACUUGUGCUAAUACCGGAUAAGCCCUUACGGGGUAAGAUUUAUCGCCGCAAGAUCGACCCGCGUCUGAUUAUCUAGUUGUUAGGUUAAUGGCCUACCAAGUCGCCGUUCAGUAGCUGGUAUGAGAGGAAGAGCAGCCACACUGAUACUUAGCCACGGCACAAAAUCCUACGCGAGGGAGGAGAGGGGGAUAGUGGACAAUGGGGGAAGGGCUGAACGAGCCAGGACGGGUGAGUGAUGAAGGCAGUAGGGUUGAAAAGCGCUUGUGUGCGGGAAGAUAAUGACGGUACCGAAAGAAUAAGCCACGGCUAACUUCGUG
rnacentral:rRNA from 1 species